GCCCUUGAGAGCACCGCACCGUUUGACUCUCUAAUAACAUUUCCUGAGCACGAUCUGUUUCUAUGCUUACUGAAAGCCACAUCAAAAUUAAUCUUUACAGCCUGCCCGCUCAGUGGCUUCCACCGUAUUGGCUCUCCUGUCUUGACAGGGGUUUUCUGACUCAUCCCAUCUAAUUCUUUCAGAUAAUCUCUUACAAAGUUUGCCACCUCUAAUGCUGUUUUCUGCUUGCCCUCGAGCAGAAGCUUGUUCCUCCCAGUUCAAAUCGCCCAAAUUGCGCCACCAAAGAUUCUACAUUGGUGUCUGGAAUUAGUUUAAAAAAAACGGGGCAUCCAGUCUUUGAAGCUCAUAUCUGAUGCCAACGCCGGCCACGUGAUGUUCAGCUGUUGCCAGAUCUCUUUUGCUUUCUGACAAUCCCGGAAAACGUGCUCCACCGUUUCGACACCAUCCGCACAUUUUGGGCAGCCUGCAGAUCCAGUUAGUCUUCUAUAAUGUAGAUUAGCAAAAAUAGGCCAAAAGUUUUGGGAUGUUCUCCAGUUUGUUAUUUUGAUUUUGUUGGGCAAUUCCAGUAGCCAUAAUUUUUUGUAAAGCGAGGAAUGGGUUUGUCGAUUCAGAGUAGGAUUAGCUCCUUGUAUUCCUUGUAAGAGUAUUCUGUAAGCACUACGAACAGUGUAUUCGCCGAUCGUCUCUCCUUACCAUACAAGGUGGUCUUCCUGGGAACUUUUGCCAAGGGAAUACACAAAAUCCUCUGUGCAUCCUUCUCAUCAAAGGUAGUCCAAACUAACAAUUCUCUCCAUUUUCUUGUAGUUGGGUCUAUCAAAUCUGCCACUGUUUGAAUGUCUAGAUUACUAACUCCAUUCUAAAUUUUGUAAUCUACACUCCCAGGUAUCAAGGCAUCUUCCCUUACUGCAGUGCCCUUGCCUAUUUUCCAGCACAACCCGUCGCAAGAAGGCCCUUAGCUGCCCACACACUUUUCUAAGUAUACGAAGAUAGAUUCCCUAAACUCAAACUUAGAAAUUUCGUAUCUGGAAAAUAUUUAGCUUUUAAUGAUCGAGCGAGCAACAAAUUCGAAUAGCAAAUCAGAUGCCACCCCUACUUCGCAAGUAAUGCCAAAUUAAACUUUGCUAAACAUCUAAAACCCAUACAUCCGUUUUCUUUAAGUUCGCACAAGUGCCUCUAUUUACACUAGUGAGUCCCUAAUUUACUGUGACAUUUUUUUCCACCAAAUGGUCUCGAAUUCGGUAACAUAAAAUACGUAGGGAUCGCAAAAUGGCUUUUAUGAAAACUUUCUUACCUCGUGAGAGGUGCCUAAUACUGCAACCACUUAUCUUCUUUCUCAUUCGGUUCUUCAAGGCCUGAAAAACCUGUCGUUUGCCUUUCCCCACUAUGGCUGGCAAGCUCGAAUAUUUUUUUGGAUCCAGUGACACCCUAACAUUAAGUGUUUGAGAAACAAUUAGUUUAUCCUAAUCCAAUACAUUCGAAUAAUAAAGUAGUAGAUUUGUCAAAGUUGAUACACUAUCUUAAACUUGGUUCAUAUUCACUAAGAAUGUUUUUGAUAAUGUUUGCUCUUUUAUUGCUCGCCUAGAAUAAAAUGCAAUCAUUUGCAAACAUCAGAUGAGAUAUUUGAG
rnacentral:lncRNA from 1 species